rnacentral:rRNA from 1 species
GUCAACGGCUAUGCCACCCUGAACAAGCUUGAUCCCGUCUGAUCUCGGAAGCUAAGCAAGGUUGGGCCUGCUUCGUACUUGGAUGAGAGACCACCUAGGAAGAGCAGGUGCUGUAGGCA